rnacentral:rRNA from 1 species
GGAGGUAUCAGAAGUGCGAAUGCUGACAUAAGUAACGAUAAAGCGGGUGAAAAGCCCGCUCGCCGGAAGACCAAGGGUUCCUGUCCAACGUUAAUCGGGGCAGGGUGAGUCGACCCCUAAGGCGAGGCCGAAAGGCGUAGUCGAUGGGAAACGGGUUAAUAUUCCCGUACUUGGUGUUACUGCGAAGGGGGGACGGAGAAGGCUAUGUUGGCCGGGCGACGGUUGUCCCGGUUUAAGCGUGUAGGUGUGUGUUCCAGGUAAAUCCGGUUCACUUUAACACUGAGGCGUGACGACGAGGCACUACGGUGCUGAAGCAACAAAUGCCCUGCUUCCAGGAAAAGCCUCUAAGCAUCAGGUAACAUCAAAUCGUACCCCAAACCGACACAGGUGGUCAGGUAGAGAAUACCAAGGCGCUUGAGAGAACUCGGGUGAAGGAACUAGGCAAAAUGGUGCCGUAACUUCGGGAGAAGGCACGCUGACACGUAGGUGAAGUGAUUUACUCAUGGAGCUGAAGUCAGUCGAAGAUACCAGCUGGCUGCAACUGUUUAUUAAAAACACAGCACUGUGCAAACACGAAAGUGGACGUAUACGGUGUGACGCCUGCCCGGUGCCGGAAGGUUAAUUGAUGGGGUCAGCGCAAGCGAAGCUCCUGAUCGAAGCCCCGGUAAACGGCGGCCGUAACUAUAACGGUCCUAAGGUAGCGAAAUUCCUUGUCGGGUAAGUUCCGACCUGCACGAAUGGCGUAAUGAUGGCCAGGCUGUCUCCACCCGAGACUCAGUGAAAUUGAACUCGCUGUGAAGAUGCAGUGUACCCGCGGCAAGACGGAAAGACCCCGUGAACCUUUACUAUAGCUUGACACUGAACAUUGAGCCUUGAUGUGUAGGAUAGGUGGGAGGCUUUGAAGUGUGGACGCCAGUCUGCAUGGAGCCGACCUUGAAAUACCACCCUUUAAUGUUUGAUGUUCUAACGUGGACCCGUGAUCCGGGUUGCGGACAGUGUCUGGUGGGUAGUUUGACUGGGGCGGUCUCCUCCUAAAGAGUAACGGAGGAGCACGAAGGUUGGCUAAUCCUGGUCGGACAUCAGGAGGUUAGUGCAAUGGCAUAAGCCAGCUUGACUGCGAGCGUGACGGCGCGAGCAGGUGCGAAAGCAGGUCAUAGUGAUCCGGUGGUUCUGAAUGGAAGGGCCAUCGCUCAACGGAUAAAAGGUACUCCGGGGAUAACAGGCUGAUACCGCCCAAGAGUUCAUAUCGACGGCGGUGUUUGGCACCUCGAUGUCGGCUCAUCACAUCCUGGGGCUGAAGUAGGUCCCAAGGGUAUGGCUGUUCGCCAUUUAAAGUGGUACGCGAGCUGGGUUUAGAACGUCGUGAGACAGUUCGGUCCCUAUCUGCCGUGGGCGCUGGAGAACUGAGGGGGGCUGCUCCUAGUACGAGAGGACCGGAGUGGACGCAUCACUGGUGUUCGGGUUGUCAUGCCAAUGGCACUGCCCGGUAGCUAAAUGCGGAAGAGAUAAGUGCUGAAAGCAUCUAAGCACGAAACUUGCCCCGAGAUGAGUUCUCCCUGAGACUUAGAGUCUCCUGAAGGAACGUUGAAGACGACGACGUUGAUAGGCCGGGUGUGUAAGCGCAGCGAUGCGUUGAGCUAACCGGUACUAAUGAACCGUGAGGCUUAACCUU